rnacentral:rRNA from 1 species
UACGUAGGGGGCGAGCGUUGUCCGGAUUUAUUGGGCGUAAAGAGCGUGUAGGCGGUUCGGUAAGUCCGCUGUGAAAGCCAGGGGCUCAACCCUUGGAUGCCGGUGGAUACUGUCGGGCUUGAGUACGGAAGAGGCGAGUGGAAUUCCUGGUGUAGCGGUGAAAUGCGCAGAUAUCAGGAGGAACACCAAUUGCGAAGGCAGCUCGCUGGGACGUUACUGACGCUGAGACGCGAAAGCGUGGGGAGCAAACAGG